rnacentral:rRNA from 1 species
CAGCAGCCACGGUAAUACGUAGGGUGCGAGCGUUAAUCGGAAUUACUGGGCGUAAAGCGUGCGCAGGCGGUUAUAUAAGACAGAUGUGAAAUCCCCGGGCUCAACCUGGGACCUGCAUUUGUGACUGUAUAGCUAGAGUACGGUAGAGGGGGAUGGAAUUCCGCGUGUAGCAGUGAAAUGCGUAGAUAUGCGGAGGAACACCGAUGGCGAAGGCAAUCCCCCGGACCUGUACUGACGCUCAUGCACGAAAGCGUGGGGAGCAAACAGGAUUAGAUACCCGUGUAGUCCCUGUCUCUUAUAU